GGGAGGGAAGAAAAGUCAGUAGAGAAGGUAGGCAGUGCUUGCAAAGGCCUGAGCACUGCAAGAAUGGACUAAUACGCUAUGUGAAGACAAAGGGGAUGUCUGCAAGCCAGGACGAGUGCGUCUACCAGAAACUGAGUUCUGCUGGACUUUGAUCUAGGACAUCCAGCCUCCAGAAUGGAAUGUGCCAUAUGUGGAGACCUGCAUGGAAAGGAACUGAGGAUGCUCUCUCACUAAAAGCUAGAAGGAACUGAGGCCCUCAGUCAACAGUCUACAAGACACUGAAUCUUGCCAGCAGCCAAGCAGUGAGCUUGAAAGCAGAUCUAUCAUCAGCUGAACCUUCAGAUGAGACCGCAGCCUAAGCAGAUACCUUGGUUGCAGCCAUGUGAGACAACCUGAAACAGAGGGCACAGCUAAGCCUCAGCCAGGUUCAUGACCCUCUGAGGAAACUGUGAGAAAGCAAAUGUCAUUUUAAGCUAUUUAAUUUUGGAGGUAGUUUAUUACACAACAAUAAAUAACUAUUAUAAUUAUCUUGAGGAUUUAUUUCCUGGGGAGAAUACAUGGAAUUGCAUAUAUAGGUCCUCAUAUGCAGAAUACUGGUACCCUAGAGAUGUUCACCCCAGAGAUGUUUUAGGAACCUGUGAAUAUGUUACAUUAAAUGGCAAAGUUUUCCUGGAUGGUUUAAGUUUAAGAUGGAAAAGUUUUACUGGAUUAUCCAGUGGGUCCAAUCUAGUAACAUGAGUCCUUAAAAAUGGAGAAUAUUUUUUGGCCAUGAUCAGAGAGACAUGUGAUGAUGGAAAAAGUGUCAGAGAUGCAAUGUGAGGGGACUAAAACUGCUGUUGCUGACUUUAAAGAUGGAGAGAGGGGAACCCGAGUCAAGGAAUGCAAAUGGCCUCUGGAAGCUGGAAAAAGCAAGAAAUGGAUUCUCCUUUAGAGCCUGUGGAAUAAAAUGCAGUCAUGCUGACACCUUGAUUUUACCUCAGUGAGACCAAUACUGGAGUAUGACCUUCGGAGCUGUAAGUUAAUAAAUUUCUGUUGUCUUAUGCACU
rnacentral:lncRNA from 1 species